GGAAAAGCCCACCGAGCUCAGCCGGCAUGAGAGGGAAGGAAGUCGGACACAGCGUCCUGGUAAAUGCCUCUGGAAAAGCACCAUUAGCUCCAUUUAAUGGGAUCGGUCAAGCUAAUCCCCCAUGUGUACUCACAGCUCUAUCAGAGGGGAUUUCUGUACAGGGCUGGAGGGAAGGAAAUCCAUCACACCAGCAAUUGCCUGUCCUCACCCAGCCCCACUGGCUUCUACUGGAGGUUGGAUCAACUCUUUCCUUCUCUCCAUCGUCGGGGCUUUGUGUGGUUCUUGCAGGGAGCUGGUCCAUGGCUACAGCUGCACCAUCCAAACAUCCAAACACCAGAUCAGUCGGGAGGUCCAUGGGCCAACAAGAGACCCACAAGGGCUGCAGCACAUGUGGACAUUUUAGCAUUAAAUGACAACCUUGUUUUCUGUUGUGUUUUUCUAAGAGACUGCAUGCCUGACCAGACUGCAUUUCUUGGUCUGCAUCCCAUAUUUAUCCUGUAAUUACACCUUUGGACAAAGGC